rnacentral:lncRNA from 12 species
GACGCGGGCAGGGGACAGGGAGGGGAUUUGGGGACUCACCCUUGCCGGCUGUCGCCAUCUGUCCCCUGCGCCGUCCGGCGUUGUCGCUGUCCCCAGUUUCAGCGGCCGGGGGGCAUCGUCCGGGAAUUCUGCGGGAAUGGGGCGGGAAUAGGGUGGGAAUGAACGGGAAGGCGCCAAUUCCGUCCCAUUCCCACCCCAUUGAGGGGACAGCGGUGACACCGAGGUGGCCCCGAGGUGGCCCCGAUCCUGGCGGGGAGGAGCCAGGGCCUGGAAUGGGAAUUCCCUCGUCCCAAAUCUCCGGGAAAAGCGGGAAUUUGGGAAUUCCCACCCCCGCGCGUGCCUCAGUUUCCCCCUUUUUUUCCCCCCCAAAAAAAAAAAGUCUCCGAGUUUUGGGGAUGUUUUCCAGGCUGGAAGCAGCAGCGCAGAUCCCAAACUUGGGGCCCUUCCCAAAUCGCUUUUUCCCGGGAUAAACGCGAGCGCAGAGCUGGGAAUUCGGGAUGUGACAUCCCCCCCAAAAAAAAUCCCCCCAGGAUGGAACUGAAGGGUCCAACCUCCUCCUCCUCGCUGCGAUCGCGCCAUGCAGGGGCUGGACCGGGAAAUCCAUGGGAAAAAAAACAAAAAAAAAACCCCAAAAUUUCGGGGAAAAAAAGCCAAAAAACAACCCCAAAUUUCAGGGAAAAAAAAAGACGAAACAAAACCGAGCUGGAACGGGGGGGGAGCCUCUCAGGGGUGAGGGGAUAAUCCAGGGAUUUGGGGGCGUCGCAAGCCACACCGGGUGGGGGCGAAGGUGUCACCAAACCUCAGGAUGGGGGUGACAGCAGAGGGGACACCGCGAGGGGACACCGAGGUCGCGUUUGUCCUCCCCUCCCUCUCCUUUCCCGAGCGCUCCCGGCCCCGUUUUCCCUCCGCCAUCCCCCGCGGUUCCUCCGCCCUUCCGCGGGGUUGCCCCGGUCCCUUUGCCACCCCCCGGGUGUCCCCAAUGUCCCCCAAUCCCCCCCCCCCCCCCCCCCCCCCCCCCCCCCCCCCCCCCCCCCCCCCCCCCCCCCCCCCCC